rnacentral:rRNA from 1 species
AGAGUUUGAUCCUGGCUCAGGAUGAACGCUGGCGGCGUGCUUAACACAUGCAAGUCGAACGAACCUUCGGGUUAGUGGCGGACGGGUGAGUAACGCGUGAGAAUCUGCCCUCAGGAGGGGGAUAACGGCUGGAAACGGCCGCUAAUACCCCAUAUGCCGAGAGGUGAAAUGAAUUUCGCCUGAGGAUGAGCUCGCGUCUGAUUAGCUAGUUGGUAGGGUAAAGGCCUACCAAGGCUUCGAUCAGUAGCUGGUCUGAGAGGAUGAUCAGCCACACUGGGACUGAGACACGGCCCAGACUCCUACGGGAGGCAGCAGUGGGGAAUUUUCCGCAAUGGGCGAAAGCCUGACGGAGCAACGCCGCGUGAGGGAUGAAGGCCUCUGGGCUGUAAACCUCUUUUAUCAAGGAAGAAGAUCUGACGGUACUUGAUGAAUAAGCCACGGCUAAUUCCGUGCCAGCAGCCGCGGUAAUACGGGAGUGGCAAGCGUUAUCCGGAAUUAUUGGGCGUAAAGCGUCCGCAGGCGGUCUUACAAGUCUGUCGUUAAAGCGUGGAGCUUAACUCCAUUUCAGCGAUGGAAACUGUAAGACUAGAGUGUGGUAGGGGCAGAGGGAAUUCCCGGUGUAGCGGUGAAAUGCGUAGAUAUCGGGAAGAACACCAGUGGCGAAGGCGCUCUGCUGGGCCAUAACUGACGCUCAUGGACGAAAGCCAGGGGAGCGAAAGGGAUUAGAUACCCCUGUAGUCCUGGCCGUAAACGAUGAACACUAGGUGUCGGGGGAAUCGACCCCCUCGGUGUCGUAGCCAACGCGUUAAGUGUUCCGCCUGGGGAGUACGCACGCAAGUGUGAAACUCAAAGGAAUUGACGGGGGCCCGCACAAGCGGUGGAGUAUGUGGUUUAAUUCGAUGCAACGCGAAGAACCUUACCAGGGUUUGACAUCCUGCGAAUCCCUUGGAAACGAGGGAGUGCCUUCGGGAACGCAGUGACAGGUGGUGCAUGGCUGUCGUCAGCUCGUGUCGUGAGAUGUUGGGUUAAGUCCCGCAACGAGCGCAACCCACGUCUUUAGUUGCCAGCAUUUAGUUGGGCACUUUAAAGAGACUGCCGGUGAUAAACCGGAGGAAGGUGAGGACGACGUCAAGUCAGCAUGCCCCUUACGCCCUGGGCUACACACGUACUACAAUGGCCGAGACAAAGAGUCGCAAGUUUGCAAAGACAAGCUAAUCUCAUAAACUCGGUCUCAGUUCGGAUUGUAGGCUGCAACUCGCCUACAUGAAGUUGGAAUCGCUAGUAAUCGCCGGUCAGCUAUACGGCGGUGAAUCCGUUCCCGGGCCUUGUACACACCGCCCGUCACACCAUGGAAGCUAUUCACACCCAAAGUCGUUACCUUAACCGCGAGGAGGGGGGCGCCUAAGGUGGGGGUAGUGACUGGGGUGAAGUCGUAACAAGGUAGCCCUACUGGAAGGUGCGGAUGGAUCACCUCCUU